GGUGGCUAGUGAGGGGGUGGUUGUGGGUUUCACCUUUGGGUUCUAGCGAAAGUUAGGUAAUUGAUCACAGUUCCCGUUAAGUCGGUUGGUAGGGUCAUUCACCUCCUCUUUCAAUCUGAUACGAACGAGAAGAUUGGAGAGUGGGAAAAGUCCCACCACCUUACGCCUUUCCUUUCCAAUAUAGGAAAUCUCCACGAUGAAAGUUUUAUUUGCUCUUUAACCAUCAUCUACCGGACAUCUGCUCUUUGCCUGUGCUCUGUGGAUGUGUUUGGAGAGCUGUGACAUUACAGAGAAUGCAGUAAUCAAGUUGGGGAAUACUUACAGAGGACCAGAGAUGAGGACAGGUGAAACUGUAUGGCAUAAAUGGUGCAGAAGGUAUCAGGAGGAAAAGGCAGAGGUCUUUGUACAACAGUGCAAAAAAGGCUCAAUGAAAUCUAGAAUUGGGAUCUUCCUGAA